AGAGUUUGAUCAUGGCUCAGGAUGAACGCUAGCGGGAGGCCUAACACAUGCAAGCCGAGCGGUAGAGAUUCUUCGGAAUCUUGAGAGCGGCGUACGGGUGCGGAACACGUGUGCAACCUACCUUUAUCUGGAGGAUAGCCUUUCGAAAGGAAGAUUAAUACUCCAUAAUAUAUUGAUUGGCAUCAAUUGAUAUUGAAAGCUCCGGCGGAUAGAGAUGGGCACGCGCAAGAUUAGUUAGUUGGUGAGGUAACGGCUCACCAAGACGAUGAUCUUUAGGGGGCCUGAGAGGGUGAUCCCCCACACUGGUACUGAGACACGGACCAGACUCCUACGGGAGGCAGCAGUGAGGAAUAUUGGUCAAUGGGUGCAAGCCUGAACCAGCCAUCCCGCGUGAAGGACGACUGCCCUAUGGGUUGUAAACUUCUUUUGUAUAGGGAUAAACCUACCCUCGUGAGGGUAGCUGAAGGUACUAUACGAAUAAGCACCGGCUAACUCCGUG
rnacentral:rRNA from 1 species